GCGCUCAUUUCAGCAACACAUGUACUAAAAUUGGAACAACACAGCAAUUGGCAUGGCCCCUACUGGAGGAUGGCAUGCAUAUUCCUGAAGCAUUCCCUAUUUUA